GCGGAUGUGGCGGAAUUGGCAGACGCGCAUGGUUCAGGGCCAUGUGGCCGAAAGGUCGUGAGGGUUCAAGUCCCUCCUUCCGCA
rnacentral:tRNA from 1 species